AUUAUCCUCCUUAUUGACAAACAGAGCGGUCGCGGCGGCGACUCUCGGCGUGCGUUGAUAGCCAAGCCAUGGGAGACAAGAAGAGCCCCACCAGGCCGAAGCGGCAGCCGAAGCCGUCCUCGGAUGAGGGUUACUGGGACUGUAGCGUCUGCACCUUCCGGAACAGCGCCGAGGCCUUCAAGUGCAUGAUGUGCGAUGUGCGGAAGGGCACCUCCACCCGGGACAGCAAGGAAGGGGGGAAGCUGGUGUCCUACUCCACAGCCAGUCUUGGGGUUAGAGGAACCCUGAGAAAUAGAGUAGGUGGUGGCAGCUCAGAAGAGAAGAAACAGGCUGAAUACCUGGCACCUGGAAGAAGAAGGAAUAUAGUACACAGGGGAGUUGGCCCAGGACAGAGAAGUGGGCCUAGUUUAAAAGAGGCUUGAGGCCCACAUGGGGGCCCCUGACAUUUUUUUUUUUUACCAGUACAUCUGAGCUCUUGUAGAUCCAAUUUUUAGUGGUGGAAACAUUACUUGAGGAGGACUCAGAGAAGCAUUGUCAUUUGGAUUGAAACUGAAGAGGCUCUGGGCAACUCACCAGAAAUCUAAGGGACACUGUGUUCCUGAAAGUAAGUGUUCUACACCACGACCCUCUCAGCUUCUUCCUUCCUCUCUCUGAAUUGUCUCUUCUCUUUUGAUUUUGGCUCUAAGUUAAACCUAAGAGCUCUAAUUUCUCUGUUAUCUGUUAUUUUCCUAGUGGUUUCUGAAAUUCAGGGUAGAAUCUGUGUUUGUAUAGAACAGUGUGGAACAGGGUAUUGUUACUAGAGAAGAUAUUGAUUGCAUCACAGAAUAUUAAUAUUUUUCCUCUCUGGUAAUGUUAAAAAAACAAGAUUAAAGGACUGCAGACCGGUGUUGAGUAGCAAAAGUUUCAGUAGUUGGAAGAAAUAAUUCUCCAUAAUUGACUUAUUAAUUAACAGGGUAAUUUCCAGAGUAAGGUUGGCAAGUACUAAAGCCAAGACUGGAUAGCUGCAGAGCAGAAGGAUGCAGUUUGCUAAUGAUUUGUUUGUGUGACCCACAGAUGGGAUUUGAAUCCUUUGGGUCAGACUGACCUUUGAACUGAUUCUGCCUCAUUGCCAAAUGUUAGGCCAAGUCUAAGCCAUUCUAGACAUUUGAAAAACUUUUUUCUUUUUAGACCUGCAGAGAAGAUUGAGUCCUUGUUCUACCUUUGAAGUCUUUUUUUUUUCUUUUUUCUUUUUUGAGAUAAGAUCUCAUUCUGUUGCCCAGGCUGGGUUGCAGUGGCAUCAUCCAGGCUCACUGCAGCCUCGAACUCCCAGGUUCAAGGAAUCCUCCUACCUCAGCCUCCCAAGUAGCUGAAACUACAGAUGCACACCACCAUGUGUGGCUAAUUUUCUUAUUUUUUGUAGAGAUGGGGGAUCUCUAUGUUGCCUAGGCUAGUCUCAAACUCUUGAGCUCAAGUGAUCCUCCCACCUUGGCCUCCCAAAGAACUGGGAUUAUAGGAAUGAGCCACCAUUCUGGCCCCUUUAAAGUCUUUAUUGGCAAUAUAAUUUUUUUUCUUUAAAUAAUAUUAAGUUCAAAUUCUUUAUGCAACAGAAGCCCAUUUCCUUUGGCUAUAUCCAUGGUAGAUCAUGUCUUUCUAGAGAACGAAGUUACAUUCAUGGCAUGUAUUUCAAAAUAAAAUGAUUUGUUGUAGCUUCAGUUCCUCAAGUUUUAAUUUUAUUUUAGAUUUUGGGGUACAUGUGCAUGUUUGUUACUUGGGUAUAUUGCAGAGUGGUGGGAUUGGGAUUCCGGUGUACCCAUUACCCAAAUAGUGAACGUUAUACCCAACAGGUAAUUUUUCAGCCCCUCACUCCAAAAUUUUUUACAUUGGGCUUUUGUGAGAGAAACAGUAGUAAAUGUCAAACUGACAGGAAAUUUUUUAAAAGGAAACAAAAUGCCAUGGUGACACAUUAUUUUCAAGAUGCUGCACAGUCUUUAUAUCUGAAGUUUCUUUUCUUUCUUUUCUUUUCUUUCUUUUUUUUUUUUUUUGAGGCAGAAUUUGAGACAGUCUUGCUCUGUCGCCCAGGCUGGAGUACAGUGGCGUGACCUCGUCUCACUGCAACCUCCACCUCCCAGGUUCAAGCAAUUCUCAUGCCUCAGCCUCUGUGGUAGCUGGGAUUACAGGUGCCCGCCACCACACCAGGCUAAUUUUUGUAUUUUUAGUAGAGGUGGGGUUUCACUAUGCUGGCCAGGCUGGUCUCAAACUCCUGACCUCAGGUGAUCCGUCUGCGUCGGCUUCCCAAAGUGCUGGGAUUACAGGAGUGAGACACUGUGCCCAGCCUAUCUGAAGAUUCUUAUAAGGCAAGAAAUAUCCCAAAUAUAAAUGCAAGAAACUUUAGGAAAUUAAGGAUCAUUCUUGGCUGGCCCAGUGGCCCACACCUGUAAGCCCAGCACCUUGGGAGGCUGAGACAGGAGGAUUUCUUGAGGCCAGGAGUUUGAGACCAACCUGGGCAACACAGUGAGAUCUCGUCUCUACUAAACAUUAAAAAAAUUAGCUGGGUGUGGUGGUGCAUGCCUGUGGUCCCAGCUACUCAGGAGGCUGAAGUGGGAGGAUCCCUUGAGCCCCAGAGUUCGAGGUUGCAGUGAGCUGUGAUCAUACCACUGCACUCCAGCCUGGGCAACAGAGUGAGACCUUGUCUCAAAAAAACAAAAUUCUGAAUCAUCAGAGAAAAUGAAAUAUUAAAUAUUAAGGAUAGUCUGUAUGAGGGUGAUAAUCAAUGUGUGAUGAUUAAAUUAAGACUGGUGUCUUAUUGGUACUUCAUCUAGUAGUGGACAGUUACUUAAUAUUGCUUAAUUCAGAUAGCAAAUAUUUAGAAAUGAAAAUGAUAGAAUUAUUGGUUUGGGUUUCAAACUGUGGUCUAAAUGGUUCAUACCAGGCUUUCAAAUGUAACAGGUAAUGUUACAUUUUGUUAGAGGAUAUUAUAACAGUCCUUUAGGUUUCUCAUAGGUGUUAUUUUAGAGAGCUAUGAAAAAGAUUUCACAUAGUAGAAAGAGUGCUAGAUGUUACACUAGUAUGAUUUUGGUAACCUGGGUUCAUAUCUCAUUUCAUAUCAACCAUUUCAAUAUUCAGCAUUCAGCAAAUGUUUAUUGAGCAUCUCAUUUAAGGGCUGAGUUGGAUACUAGACAUACAGUGGUGAGCAAAAUGGAUUUUUUUGUUUCUUUAAAAUUUUACAGUUUUGCAAAUUAGAACCGCUUUAACUGUACCAAGCUCUAUAUGUGAGGUUUAGUGUUAGUAGAUCUUUCCUUUAUGUGUAGGCUGAAGAGGUGGAACUUCUUCAUUAAAAAUAUAUGUUGUUUAUAACUGAACACAGUAGUAUUAUUAUGGUUAGGUAAAAAGAGUGAGUUAUUUCAGCUUCUAUUAAAAGUAAGCUAUAAAAUCCACAUUCUGAAAGAAGCUUAAACCAACUAUCAUCUGGUAGAAAUCUUUUCAGCAUCGUUGUUUUCUUGUCAUACUUGCUUUAUGUCUUCAAAUUUGAGGUUUGGCACUGAUUCUUCUAGACUUUUGGUGUAGGAAUGGGAGAAAAAAGUUGAGGACCAUCUACAUAAGUCCUUUUUAAAGAAAUGCAUGGUUCCUGAGCCGCCUCCUGUCUAUCUGAGGAGCCUUUGUAGCAACCAUUUAGUUGUUCAGAGACUCCUUAUUCUAGGAGAUUUCUUACUUGUUUGUUUUUUGUCCUGUAAGAGGACUCAACACUGGUUAAUUGUAUAUGGGUAAAUUUUACAAGUGAUUAUUAGUGUUUGUGUAGUCUGGAUAUCAGAGUGGUUUUCAAAGUGUAGUCUGAGGGACACUGAGAGUCCCUGAGAUCUUUUUAGUUGAAGCUUUCUAUGAGGUUCACACUGUUUUUAUAAUAAUUUGAAGAUGUUAUUUGCCUUUUUCACUGUGAUGGUGCAGAGGCAGUGAUGGGUAAAACUGCCAGUACCUUAGCAUGAAUCAAAGCAGUGGCACCAAAUUGCUAUCUUCAUUGUAAUAUUCACCACCAUGUACAUGCAUGCAGUAAGAAUAAUGUCAGUUUGAAUUAAGAAUAUCCUUGAAGCAGAAAAAUUUACUAAUUUUAUUACAUCUCAUAUUUUUAAAAAUAUUCUGUCUGACAAAAUGGGAACUACACAUAAAGCACUUCUACUGUAUACCAAAGUACAGUGGUUAAGGGAAAGCACGUGUGUAGUUUGUCUUGCAAGCAGAGCUAGUCUUUUUGUCAUAGAGCAUCAUUUUUACUUGAAAGACUACCUGAAAUACCAUAGUUAUUCAGACUUGGAUAUUUAGCAUAUAUUUUCUUGAAAAUGAAUAUAUUCAAAAAAUAUAUCACUUCAAGGAAAACACUUGAUACUAUAUGUUGCCAGUGAUAAUCAUUCAAGUGAAAAUUAGAAUUUUUGAAAAUUUGUAGUAACAAUGAGCUUUAGAGUUUCUGUGUAUAAAGACUUUUCUGAGAAGAUUAGUGGUGGUAUCAAUGAAUAUAAUUUCUGAUAUUUCACCAUGAAAUGUGUCAGCAUUUGGAAGCUACGCAUAACUCAGCAAACAAAUGGUUCCUAGUUACCGAUGUAUGAUUUUACAAAACUGUAAUGGGUAAUCCAUCGAAGUACAAAAUACCAACAAAUUUUAAGGGAACACUGAAAACUUCAUUGAUGUGGUUUCAGAUUUCAUAUUGCAACUAACCUUUGAGAAACAACUGUGUUUUUAUGUAGUAUCAAAGAAUAACACCUAUAGUUAUCUGAAAAUGCUAUUCAACUACUUACCUCUUUUCAACUGUAUAUCUGUGAGAGUCCAGAUUUUCUUAAUAUUUUUGGACUAAAACAACAUAUUGCAACAAAUUGAAUGCUGAGAUAGAUAUGACAAUCCAGGUGUCUUCUACUAACCAGAUGUUAGAGGUUUGCAGAAAUAUACGAUGCCACUCUUCAUACAAAAUAUCUUUGUUUUGGAAAAUAAUAAGUUUUUAAAAUAAAAAUAUGUCAUUU
rnacentral:sRNA from 1 species